CACACAUUCGAUGCCUCUCCUUCCAGCCACACAACGACCACCACUUUGCCUCUUUCUCUUCCCCAUGGAGGCACCUCCCCACGUUCUGGAUGCGCCAUGAUUCUGGAUCGGGUGCAAGUCGCCGCAAUGGGAGAGCAGGUCUGGUGUGGUUUCAUGGUGGGUGUUGAUGAGCAGGGGGAGGCUGGGGAGGGAGCAUGCCAUCACUGCCUACCACUGCUCACCUGUCGUCGUGCCCCAUCCCCAACCUAGGCUGCACAUCUUCUGCUUUGCCAUCUCUCUCCCCUAUCUUUUACCCCUUGAUUUCCCUUGUUCUUUGAUAAUCUGAUUUUAUUUUCUUGAUUUAUGUGUGCAGAUUGGAUGAAGAAUACAAGAGGAAGGACCUUUCGGAAGACUGAAGAACAAGUUUAUAGCCUCAGCGAGGAGCACAUGACAUCGACGCCAUCACUGAGCUCAAGAUGGUGCCUUGCAAUGAUCAUUGCACUUCUCUUCAAUACAUCAAUGUCACUUCCAAAGCGGAGUCCCUCCUAGAGGAUAGUCUCUAUUAUCAGAAAGGCGUUUGUCCAGCUUGCUCUGCAUAAUACAACAAUGCCUUUAUGAGUAUCUUGUGCCGGUUAUCAGAGACAACAGCACAAUCUUGGAGUACAUGGACAUCAACGCUGACGGUGUCGGCAGCAAUGACCAGAGGUGUGCGAUUUGACCAGCGCAGCAUUCUUGUGUUUUCAUUUAAACAUUCAGGCAAGAAUCUGGUCCUGUAUAUUUAGACAUUAUUGUUUCUGUAUAUGCAUACACAUAGAAGAGAUUAAAUAUGUCUGAAACAUGUGAAAGCAUGCAUAUUUUUACUGGGCUCGAAAUAUAUCUGACCUCUACUGCUCAAAAUAUCUAGGAGGAAUUUUAAAUGCCCAUUUUGAUCAAUUUUUUAGUUUAAUAAAGGUCGUCCCUGAUUCUCAGUCAGUAUUUAGUUCAAUAAAGGCCAUCCCUAUCUUUUGUUUAAUAGGUACAAUGAGCUUUUCCAGUCGUUCUCAUCUUGCUUAGAGUGAAUCUUUGUCUUUAUGCACACAACUUUUAUGAUUUCAGUCUUUAGCUAGAUGAAGCUUUUUUGGCCAGCAAUGAAAACUGCUUAAAAGAUAACUGAUUUGAGAAGGCUUGUUCAUGCUGGAUUGCUAAGGCCUAUGCUCCAGCCUGCAGGUCUGAGCUGAAUGAAAGCAUGGACUUCAACAUUUAAGUGACGAGGCAGCUAAGUGUACGUGAUUCAAAUUCAGCACAUUAAGUCUGAGUAGAUAUUUUGGUAUUUCUUAUUGUAAAGUUGGUGAGUUGCAACUGUAAGAAGGUAAUUUUUCGCCUUUUCACAUGUUCAAGCAUAUGUGUGUAUAUUAAAAGUUCUUUUCUUUAGAGGUGCCUUUUGAGAUACAAGGCAUGGUUUAUGUAAAUUUUAGUUUCCUUCAGUGACAUAUUAAUAGAUAUGAAUGGGUUGUCACCCUAAUUUUGAAAUCAAUUUGUGUAUUUGAGAUGCCAGAUUUUGGAUUAGUAGUUGUUCAAAGCACUAGAUGUUUGCCCAAGAUAAUGUUUGUUAUUAUUUAAUAUUUCUGAAUCUCUCCUGGAAUUCUAACCCUGCAUUAAUAGCAGGGUGUGCCGAUUGAUAAAUAGUGUUGUGUUUGGUCCGUGUCUAGCAGUUGGCAUAUUGACCUAUAUUUUUCCUAUAAUAGUGUCCCUAAUUUGCAUUCAGCUGAUAUUAGAUUUGGCUAAAAGAUAAAGAGACCUAUUUAGGAUUGUUGGUUGCAAACUUACCUCUUUCUAUUGUGCUGUUGGCUUUUAGGACAGGUCCAAUGCACAAAGGUAAAUUUUUCCCAUAUUAGGAGGCAAUCAGUGCAUGACUUAGUUUAAGAAUAUAUAGGUGUUCAUGCUCAUGGUUAUGCUGCCCGUUGGCACUAAAAUGUCUAGAACAUCAUCGACCUACCUAUCUGUGCUGUUGAGCUGGAUACAAUAGUUAAUGUAGCAUGUAAGUGAAUUAUUAACGGACUAAUGAAUUUGUUCAUAACAAUUGAUGUUUCUACCUGGAACUUCUGAUUUUAACAAAAUGAUUGUUCUUUACCCAUGAUUAUUACCAUUUGAUCGUAAGAUAGUUCCCAUAUUCUAAUAGGUAAUUACAUAAUUUUAGUUCACUCAUAUACCCUGAUUGUAUAUAUCAGCAAUUACUUUAUUUUCGACUACACAAAUUGAGCUUUAUAUUUCCUUUCCGGUGUGCCAAAACCUCAUGCACUGCACCAUGCUUCUGUUGGCUUGGGUUUUCGCUGCUUCUUUUGUGUGUUUGUGCUCAAAUUUUGGAAGAGGCGGGCUCAAGUGUCAUUGUAGUAACAAAUCAUUGGUGACCGAGCGGAGUUUGAUAGGUUGCAAAUGCAUGUUCAUUUGAAAUUCAUAAAUAAAUUCUGAAUGUGAGCAACUGCAAGGCAAUUGAAUACUAAUAAUUGAUGCAGUCUGAUGUGGUGUGCUCGCUGUUCUUUUUUGGUAGGAGAGAAAAAAUUGGUGUCUUUGACACACUUGGGAUUGACGGAUCGUUCAUGCCAUGGUUGGAUGUGAAUGGGGCAGUGUACAUCCAAAUUUUGUUUGGCUGAUCAGAAUAUUUGUCCGUUAGGCUGUCUUAAUGCAAUCCCAUUCGCAUAAAUUUUGCAAACAUCAGCAAAGAUUUCAGCGGCAGGGAGUGUUUGCCGUAGUGGAAACGAAGCAAAAAUUCGAUGGAGCUCAGGAUUUUGCUAUUACCUUGCUAAUAGCUUUGUGAGCGAGGCCGCGCGCAUUCAAGGUACUUAAAAAAUAUAUGUACAAGUUAAGCAGAGGCAACUUUGAGGAUUUCACCCGACAGACGGGUUUUCAUACGUGGAUAUUGGUGCGUGUGUAAGUAUCUCGCUUGCGGUCAACUUAAGAUGUGUGUGCGUGUGUGCUGGUCCGGCCUGUACAAUGUAUCAUGGGAUGAUGAUCUGGCUGUCAGCAACUGGAUAACGUGCCGCUCCGAGGAACUAGGCGCUCUAAGAGGACAAUGCAUGAGCUUGCGAUGGGAGGCUUUUCCUACAGAUCGUCGCACCUGCAGUACUCAUGAUGGAUGUCCGGGACGUGUUUGCAAGGCACAAGCCAAGUGUCAGCAUGGAGGACCUGGAGGCAGUACAAAAGGUUCAUUGCAGAGUUUGGCAACCAGGGCUGGUCAUGAAGAUACACAGAGAGAGUACUCCACUGGUACUGAAGAAAUACUGCACGAUAUGGUUGGUUGUUGUUCCUUGGAAGAAGUAGGAUUCGCCGCUGAUAAUACCUGUAAACAAACAAAUCCACCGGCGAAAAGUGCUUCAUAUGGAAACUAAACAAGUUGUUGAGGAAACCGCUGCUACAGCUGUUGAAGAUGCAAAUAAUGUUCUGUGUGACCAAGCUAAACGCAAAAGGAUUAAUACUGGUGCCAAGGCCGCCAGCUCUGCAAAGAAAGCAAGGCAGUAGCUCUUCCAUGCCCUAGGUUGGGUGUGUACAUACAGGUAUUUUUGUGUGUUCCACUUGCUUCUCAAGCUCGGUCUGCCGCUAGGAGGUUGUGUUGCUGAAGGGAGCUUCUUCACUAUAUCGCAUCGCAGCAGUGGUCUGGCCAUCGGGUCUCAAGAUCGUACCUUUGGCACACUUUUGGGCAUGCACCUCAUGUAUUUUGUGCAUGUUUGCAAGGCAAGACUUUGACACUCGGAGAACUAUGUCAAGCCACUGUCAAUACAAAUCCCCUUAUUUACGUCCCUGAACAAAUAGACUCUUAUGCGAUGUAAAUAUCACCAUUGGCCCAGCGGGCGAUGACCCUACUUGAUAUUCAUCGCUGCGUACCUUACUCACGUAAGCUAAAUGACCAAAGCUUUCUAUAUGAUGGACCUCUGCCUAUGUAGCUUUGCUUCGUAAAAGCAAUGUAAAUAAGCUAUCAUGAACUGAUCUCAUACCUUUCUUA